rnacentral:misc_RNA from 1 species
GAUGAAGAACGCAGCGAAAUGCGAUACGUAGUGUGAAUUGCAGAAUUCAGUGAAUCAUCGAAUCUUUGAACGCACAAUGCACCUCUCGGUAUUCCGGGAGGUAUGCCUGUUCGAGCGUCAUUUGUACCCUCAAGCUCUGCUUGGUGUUGGGUGUUUGUUCCGCCUCUGUGUGUGAACUCGCCUCAAAACAAUUGGCAGCCGGCGUACUUGUUUCGGAGCGCAGCACAUUUUGCGAUCCAGAUCAACGUACAGCGGCAUCCAAGAAGCCUUAUUUAACGCUCUUGACCUCGGAUCAGGUAGGGAUACCCGCUGAACUUAAGCAUAUCAAUAAGCGGAGGA